rnacentral:rRNA from 1 species
UACGGAGGGGGCAAGCGUUGUUCGGAAUUACUGGGCGUAAAGGGCGCGUAGGCGGCCGAGCAUGUCCUUCGUGAAAUCCCACGGCUCAACCGUGGAAUGGCGGAGGAAACUGCUCGGCUUGAGUCCGGGAGAGGGGAGUGGAAUUCCCAGUGUAGCGGUGAAAUGCGUAGAUAUUGGGAGGAACACCGGUGGCGAAGGCGGCUCUCUGGACCGGUACUGACGCUGAGGCGCGAAAGCUAGGGGAGCAAACGGGAUUAGAAACCCCCGUAGUCC